rnacentral:misc_RNA from 1 species
AAAUGCGAUAAGUAAUGUGCAUUGCAGAAUUCAGUGAAUCAUCGAAUCUUUGAACUCACCUUGCGCUCCUUGGUAUUCCGAGGAGCAUGCCUGUUUGAGUGUCAUGGAAUUCUCAACUCUAUUUGCUUUUGUGAAUAGAGCUUGGAUUUGGAGGUUUAUUGCUGGUACUUGUGAUCGGCUCCUCUUGAAUGCAUUAGCUCGAACCUUUGCGGAUCAGCUAUCGGUGUGAUAAUUGUCUACGCCGUUGCAGUGAAGCAUAUCAAUGGGCUCGGCUUCCAAUCGUCCUUUACUGGACAAUGACUUUGACCUUUGACCUCAAAUCAGGUAGGAUUACCCGCUGAACUUAAGC